GACCGUGAGCAUUACGACUCGGUAUGUAUAGACCAUCCAAGUUGGCCUCCGCAGGUGGCUGCGGAGGUCUUAAAUCAUAGUGAAGUCAUGGAGGUCGAAAAGACCUGUCAAAAAGAGGAUUUUACUUACGUUCUUCCGGGCUUGCCACUGCAAGAUCUCCUGAUGGCGACGGGAUACUUGCUUGGAGGCCCGGAUGAGGAAGAUUAGAUCUUUAAAAAGAACUUUUAUUGAACUUUAUUGAACUGCCAUUGAAUUUUUGACUUUUAUUGGAUUUGUAUUGAACCAUGUUUUCGAGGGGUUAUCGUCCGUGCCUCUCUCAUUUUUAUUCACCUUUUGUUAUCAUCCUCAUCACAUUUAUGUCUUUGUCUAGCCCGCAGCUACCACUCUAUGUACAUCCCUUGUGGCUAAUUCAAUGAAAUAAAGUAGCUUGCUUGCCCUUGACUUCCGGUCUUGCGCGUUGGCAUUACUUUCUGUCAACCUGAAGAACUGUGUAGACGUCCGUCGUUCGACACCGUCCAAAAAUUGAACUGUGAGAGUCGACCGAGGUGAAAAAGAAGACAACCAACCCAAGGCUAGAGAUAAAGAUGCCUGUCACGAUCCCUUUCAUUCGUGUCUUCCAUAGUACCACCUUCGCAGUAGCUACUACAAAGAGGAAACAAGCCGGUUCUACCCUAUUAAGAGAAGACGGCGGAACAAACUUAAUUAUAGACUCGGAUGACAGUUGAAAUUUUCUCAGCCGUGACGACAGUUGCUCGACAUAAACCCAAAGUUCCGAAA